GUUGGUAAGGUAACGGCUUACCAAGGCGACGAUCAGUAGCCGACCUGAGAGGGUGAUCGGCCACAUUGGAACUGAGACACGGUCCAAACUCCUACGGGAGGCAGCAGUGGGGAAUAUUGCACAAUGGGCGAAAGCCUGAUGCAGCAACGCCGCGUGCGUGAUGAAGGCCUUCGGGUCGUAAAACUCUGUCCUCAAGGAAGAUAAUGACGGUACUUGAGGAGGAAGCCCCGGCUAACUACGUGCCAGCAGCCGCGGUAAUACGUAGGGGGCUAGCGUUAUCCGGA
rnacentral:rRNA from 1 species